rnacentral:rRNA from 1 species
AACGCUAGCUACAGGCUUAACACAUGCAAGUCGAGGGGAAACGAUAUUGGAAGCUUGCUUUUGAUGGGCGUCGACCGGCGCACGGGUGAGUAACGCGUAUCCAACCUGCCCACCACUUGGGGAUAACCUUGCGAAAGUAAGACUAAUACCCAAUGAUGUCUCUAGAAGACAUCUGAAGGAGAUUAAAGAUUCAUCGGUGAUGGAUGGGGAUGCGUCUGAUUAGCUUGUUGGCGGGGUAACGGCCCACCAAGGCGACGAUCAGUAGGGGUUCUGAGAGGAAGGUCCCCCACAUUGGAACUGAGACACGGUCCAAACUCCUACGGGAGGCAGCAGUGAGGAAUAUUGGUCAAUGGGCGAGAGCCUGAACCAGCCAAGUAGCGUGCAGGAUGACGGCCCUAUGGGUUGUAAACUGCUUUUAUGCGGGGAUAAACUGACUCACGUGUGGGUCAUUGCAGGUACCGCAUGAAUAAGGACCGGCUAAUUCCGUGCCAGCAGCCGCGGUAAUACGGAAGGUCCGGGCGUUAUCCGGAUUUAUUGGGUUUAAAGGGAGCGUAGGCCGUUGUUUAAGCGUGUUGUGAAAUGUCCCGGCUCAACCGUGGCACUGCAGCGCGAACUGGACGACUUGAGUGCGCGGAACGUAUGCGGAAUUUGUGGUGUAGCGGUGAAAUGCUUAGAUAUCACGAAGAACUCCGAUUG